GAUGAACGCUGGCGGCGUGCCUAAUACAUGCAAGUCGAGCGAACAGACGAGGAGCUUGCUCCUCUGACGUUAGCGGCGGACGGGUGAGUAACACGUGGAUAACCUACCUAUAAGACUGGGAUAACUUCGGGAAACCGGAGCUAAUACCGGAUAAUAUAUUGAACCGCAUGGUUCAAUAGUGAAAGACGGUUUUGCUGUCACUUAUAGAUGGAUCCGCGCCGCAUUAGCUAGUUGGUAAGGUAACGGCUUACCAAGGCAACGAUGCGUAGCCGACCUGAGAGGGUGAUCGGCCACACUGGAACUGAGACACGGUCCAGACUCCUACGGGAGGCAGCAGUAGGGAAUCUUCCGCAAUGGGCGAAAGCCUGACGGAGCAACGCCGCGUGAAUGAUGAAGGUCUUCGGAUCGUAAAACUCUGUGAUUAGGGAAGAACAAAUGUGUAAGUAACUAUGCACGUCUUGACGGUACCUAAUCAGAAAGCCACGGCUAACUACGUG
rnacentral:rRNA from 1 species